rnacentral:lncRNA from 1 species
CAGGCAGUUGCAGUGGUGCAGAAUGGCUGACCUCAGUCUUGCAGAUGCAUUAACAGAGCCAUCUCCAGAAAUUGAGGAAGAGAUAAAACGGGACUUUAUUGCCACGCUGGAGGCAGAGGCCUUUGAUGAUGUUGUGGGAGAAACUGUUGGAAAAACAGACUAUAUUCCGCUCCUGGAUGUUGAUGAAAAAACCGGGAGUUCGGAGUCAAAGAAGAAACCAUGCUCAGACACUCGCCAGGUUGAAGGUACUCCAUCUUCUCAAGCCACAGUGCUCGCCAACGGUGACCACGGAAUAGAACGGAAUGAUGUCACUGAAGCCUAG